rnacentral:lncRNA from 1 species
CUUCCUCAUUGGCUCAUCCUCACUCUCCGUCUCUCUUUUCGAACAUUCAGAGUAAAGGAACCUCAAAUUUCAAUCAUCAUUAUCAUCGAUAUCAUGGCCCAUUUUGUGGCCCCAAUCGCAUAUCCAUUAUCACUCUUAGGUAAGUAUUCCCAUCCCAUCUAAAGAUUUUUGCAGAUUUCAUGUUCUAUUUUUGUUUUUUACUUCCAUGGAUAUUUUGAAGGUGGGAGGGAAUAAUUAUUGGAGAACCCAGAAAUAUAUUCAUAAAUUUGCUUGCUAAUUUGGCUCGUGGAGGAUAUUCUGCUACUUUCUUCUUCUACAUCAAAUCGUUGAACAGGAAAAAAAAUCAUAAUUAUCUUCUUGAGGAGAAGGGUCAUGUUACAAAUAUCAAUCCAAUUGGCAAUUCUCAAAUCAUAAUAAAAAAGGUAAAUCUAGUCAUGCUUUUGCAUUUACUAAGAACGUGCACGAUUUAUUUUGAGAUAAAGAUUUUAUAUCAUCUUUACAUGUCUGAUUUAUUGAUUCGUUAUCUCUUAAGAAAGUUUACACCAUUUUUCAAUUGACUUAUUCAGGGCUUCCUGGAGAAAAUUGCACCUAUCUGGAUGAAUGUUUCUCUGAAAAUGAAAAAUGACCCAAAGACAGAAUACUUUUGGAUGGAUGCUAGAAAUGUGAGAAGAUCUGAAAGUGUUCUAUUUCUUAUGUGUCAAAACUUGCAUCAACAAGUAAAAAGCUUCUCUAACCUUCUCUUUUUAUUGACCAAACAAUGGUAUGCAUAUGCUGCGGCCUCUACUUUUCAUGGAGUGCAGCAUAUUCUCUUCAAGGACUUUAUNUCUAAUGGAGAAUAAAACUUGGAAGUUAGUUAACAAACCUAAGGAUCAUAGGAUAGUUCAAUGUAAGUGGAUUUACAAAUUGAAAGAAGGAAAUAAUCCUAGUGAUCCUCCUAGGUAUAAGGCCAGAUUAGUGGCGAAAGGGUUCACUCAAAAGGAGGGGGUUGAUUACAAUGAGAUAUUCUCUCCUGUGAUAAAGUACAAAACAAUCAGAUUGGUUCUUGCAUUGGUUGUUCAGUACAACUGGGAACUGGAA